rnacentral:rRNA from 1 species
GGGAAAAGCUCAAAUUUAAAAUCUGGUGGUUCUUGCAGCCAUCCGAAUUGUAAUUUAGAGAAGUGUUAUCCGCGCUGGACCGUGUAUAAGUCUCCUGGAAUGGAGCGUCAUAGAGGGUGAGAAUCCCGUCUUUGACACGGACUACCAGGGCUUUGUGAUGCGCUCUC